GCACCACUAGGUCAAGUGAUCCAAACUCUCUAUGCCUCAUUCUACUCAUCUGCAAAACACCAACACUCCUUCUGUGACUCGCCUGCCUGCCACUGUUACCUGCAAAGAUGCUGUGAAGACAUGGGGCCCACCUGGAUAAUCCAGGACACUCUUCCCACCUUACAGUCAGCAGGGAAGGAAACAGCCUCAAAGAGAACCAAUGCUUUGCCCAAGGCCACUUGGCACUAAAGCAGAAAAAAUGGCCCCAAACCCAGAUUUUCUGAAGUCCAGCACUUUCUGCACCGUGUGUUGGGCCCCAAUUUCAAAGAUGACAAAGCUUCAGGACCUGUUUCAGUUUUGUUUUACGAAUGGAUUUGGCAAAGGAAGAAGGCAGUACAGUUAAUCCUGGCUGCAGCCGCUGGAAAAUUUGCUACACCCUCCUCAGUGCUAGCUGUGUAUUGAAUUUGGAACCUCAAACAAAGCUUGGUAGAAGGAAGACAAAAAAGCUUCCGUUUACACUCCAUUUUGGUUCCCCCUUUGACUUCAAAGAAAGGAAAGAGAAGGAGGAAAUUCACAUUUUUGUCAUUGUUACAGUCACUUUAAUUAUGCAACGUUUUGUUAUGAAACACAGUUUUCUUUUUAUGAAAUAGUGCAGCCCUUUGGAAGCAGUGAAAAUGCUAAGUUCAGAAAAUUUUACACGGCACACCAUUGAUAUGUAUGAUGAUAGAAGAAUAAUUAAGAUGCUGUAUCUUAAUUAUCUGGUAGCAGAAAUAUAAGUCUCCUAGUCUCAAGAUUUCAAACAGUAAGCAGUGGACUGUACAAGAUCACGAGGCAGUCACCCCCUGUCUGCUCUGUUCCCUCUCCUCUACAAUUCUUGGAGAAAGCUGUAUAGGUUGGGUUGUCCUCAAAACUUUAGACAUAUGUGAAAUACACAGGAUUUUGGA